rnacentral:rRNA from 1 species
AGAUCAGAAUGUUGGUCAUGCCACAGGUAUGUACUGGUCUCACUGAUUCCUCCUUCCUGAUGAACCGUAAUGCCAUUAAUUUGGUGUUGCGGGGAAUCUGGACCGUUACUUUGAAAAAAUUAGAGUGUUUAAAGCAGGCUCACGCUUGAAUACAUUAGCAUGGAAUAAUGAAAUAGGACGUUUGAUUCUAUUUUGUUGGUUUCUAGGAUCGACGUA